AAUAGAUACCCGGGUAGUCCACGCCGUAAACGGUGGGCACUAGGUGUGGGCGACAUUCCACGUCGUCCGUGCCGCAGCUAACGCAUUAAGUGCCCCGCCUGGGGAGUACGGCCGCAAGGCUAAAACUCGAAGGAAUUGACGGGGGCCCGCACAAGCGGCGGAGCAUGUGGCUUAAUUCGACGCAACGCGAAGAACCUUACCAAGGCUUGACAUACACCGGAAACGUCCAGAGAUGGGCGCCCCCUUGUGGUCGGUGUACAGGUGGUGCAUGGCUGUCGUCAGCUCGUGUCGUGAGAUGUUGGGUUAAGUCCCGCAACGAGCGCAACCCUUGUCCCGUGUUGCCAGCAGGCCCUUGUGGUGCUGGGGACUCACGGGAGACCGCCGGGGUCAACUCGGAGGAAGGUGGGGACGACGGUCAAGGUCAUCAUGCCCCUUAUGUCUUGGGCUGCACACGUGCUACAAUGGCCGGUACAAUGAGCUGCGAUACCGCGAGGUGGAGCGAAUCUCAAAAAGCCGGUCUCAGUUCGGAUUGGGGUCUGCUAAC
rnacentral:rRNA from 1 species